GACGAACGCUGGCGGCGUGCUUAACACAUGCAAGUCGAACGGAAAGGCCCUGCUUGCAGGGUACUCGAGUGGCGAACGGGUGAGUAACACGUGGGUGAUCUGCCCUGCACUUCGGGAUAAGCCUGGGAAACUGGGUCUAAUACCGGAUAUGACCUUCCAUGUAGUGUGGGGGGUGGAAAGAUUUAUCGGUGUGGGAUGAGCCCGCGGCCUAUCAGCUUGUUGGUGGGGUAAUGGCCUACCAAGGCGUCGACGGGUGGCCGGCCUGAGAGGGUGGACGGCCACAUUGGGACUGAGAUACGGCCCAGACUCCUACGGGAGGCAGCAGUGGGGAAUAUUGCACAAUGGGCGGAAGCCUUAUGCAGCGACGCCGCGUGGGGGAUGACGGCCUUCGGGUUGUAAACCUCUUUCGACAGGGACGAAGCUUCGGUGACGGUACCUGUAGAAGAAGCACCGGCUAACUACGUG
rnacentral:rRNA from 1 species